rnacentral:rRNA from 1 species
UACGAAGGGGGCUAGCGUUGUUCGGAAUCACUGGGCGUAAAGCGCACGUAGGCGGCUCCUUAAGUCAGGGGUGAAAUCCCGAGGCUCAACCUCGGAACUGCCUUUGAUACUGGGGAUCUUGAGUCCGGGAGAGGUGAGUGGAAUUGCGAGUGUAGAGGUGAAAUUCGUAGAUAUUCGCAAGAACACCAGUGGCGAAGGCGGCUCACUGGCCCGGUAUUGACGCUGAGGUGCGAAAGCGUGGGGAGCAAACAGG